rnacentral:rRNA from 1 species
GACGAACGCUGGCGGUGUGCUUAACACAUGCAAGUCGAACGGUAAGGCCCUUUCGGGGGUACACGAGUGGCGCACGGGUGAGUAACACGUGAGUAACCUGCCCUCAUCUCUGGGAUAACAGUCGGAAACGGUUGCUAAUACUGGAUAUGAGCUUGCAAGGCAUCUUGUGGGUUGGAAAGAUUUUUUUUGGUUGGGGAUGGACUCGCGGCCUAUCAGCUUGUUGGUGAGGUAGUGGCUCACCAAGGCUUCGACGGGUAGCCGGCCUGAGAGGGCGACCGGCCACAUUGGGACUGAGAUGCGGCCCAAACUCCGACGGGAGGCAGCAGUGGGGAAUAUUGGACAAUGGACGGAAGUCUGAUGCAGCAACGCCGCGUGCGGGAUGACGGCCUUCGGGUUGUAAACCGCUUUCAAUUGUGACGAAGCUUUUUUGUGACGGUAGCAGUAGAAGAAGCACCGGCUAACUACGUG